rnacentral:rRNA from 1 species
AACCAGCUCCUCGAGUGGUCGGGGUGAUUAUUGGGCCUAAAGCGUCCGUAGCCGGUCUGGUAAGUCCUUGGUUAAAUCCGGCAGCUUAACUGUCGGCUUGCUGAGGAUACUGCUAGACUUGGGGGUGGGAAAGGCUAAAGGUACUUCCAGGGUAGGGGUGAAAUCCUAUAAUCCUGGGGGGACCACCAGUGGCGAAGGCGUUUAGCUGGAACACGCCCGACGGUGAGGGACGAAAGCUAGGGGAGCGAACCGG